GACGAACGCUGGCGGCGUGCUUAACACAUGCAAGUCGAACGGAAAGGCCCUGCUUUGGUGGGGUGCUCGAGUGGCGAACGGGUGAGUAACACGUGAGUAACCUGCCCUUGACUUUGGGAUAACUUCAGGAAACUGGGGCUAAUACCGGAUAGGAGCUCCUGCUGCAUGGUGGGGGUUGGAAAGUUUCGGCGGUUGGGGAUGGACUCGCGGCUUAUCAGCUUGUUGGUGGGGUAGUGGCUUACCAAGGCUUUGACGGGUAGCCGGCCUGAGAGGGUGACCGGCCCCAUUGGGACUGAGAUACGGCCCAGACUCCUACGGGAGGCAGCAGUGGGGAAUAUUGCACAAUGGGCGGAAGCCUGAUGCAGCAACGCCGCGUGCGGGAUGACGGCCUUCGGGUUGUAAACCGCUUUCGCCUGUGACGAAGCGUGAGUGACGGUAAUGUGUAAAGAAGCACCGGCUAACUACGUG
rnacentral:rRNA from 1 species